GCGUAGCAAUGCACACAAGGCAUUAUGCAAUUAUAUGAAAAAAUAAAACUAUUGUCAAAAGCCCACAGCACAUGCAAGCGGUUUCAUGUGACGAGAUAAAAUAUCCAUUCAAAAUUUAGAAAUAGGGGAGAUCUAAUCUGCAACAACUGGCAUGGGUUGAUAAAAAUGACUAGGAUUAUGCCUUUGGCUACUGGCGAAUUAAAGAUGGUCUGAUUUUGACUAGGCUACGAGCAAGAUGGUGACCACCGACGUGAUCUGGUAAAGGACAUCGCUGGACAUUGGUGUGCCAGCCGAUUGGCCAGUACUGUCGUCGGACGGUGUGUCUCACAAAUCCUGACCGGUCAACUAAAAGAGUUUGUGUAUUUGCAUGUGUUUAUUUCAGGAAAUGGCUUCCUGAAAUCCCUCAAGCAGCUGAUUGGUCGACUCCAUGGCUAAUUGGAGAGCUGACCCCGCCCCCUCGUCAAGACACAGCUGUCUCCAAUUACCCAUUCAAUCUGAACCUAUAUAAAAGCCAGUGUUCUGUUCAGGAGAGAGAGAUUUGCUGGGAGGUCAUUGGAGAGAUUUUGCUAGAGAGAUUUGCUGGGAGGUCAUUGCUGGGAGGUCAUUGCAGAGAUUUUGCUAGAGAGAUUUGCUGGGAUGUCAUUGAAGAGAUUUUGCUAGAGGUUGAUUUUGCUGGGAGUUCAUUGCUGAGAGUUGGUAUGUUUUGUGAGUUUGCUCAGAUAGAGCUUAUUUGAUGUCCUUUGUUUCUUAGUUUGUGAAAUUGUUUAAUAUUCUGUUUCAUUUGUUCCCAGGGGAGAAGGGGAAGGCACCUAGGGAGUGCUUAGGCAAGAGUCCCGCGGGCAUACAUAUACCCGUAGCACAUUCGCUGUCUAGGCACACUAGGUAAGACCUGGGCGGACCACCCCUGUAUUUGUUAGGGAACUAGGUGGUGCUAAAUUAGGUAAGUAGUGGGUAGGCAGGUAAGAUAGGAGAGGGGCGCUUUGAGAUGUACUUUCUUUGCUUUGGUUCGG